rnacentral:rRNA from 1 species
UAGGGAAUCUUCGGCAAUGGGGGCAACCCUGACCGAGCAACGCCGCGUGAGUGAAGAAGGUUUUCGGAUCGUAAAGCUCUGUUGUAAGAGAAGAACGUGUGUGAGAGUGGAAAGUUCACACAGUGACGGUAACUUACCAGAAAGGGACGGCUAACUACGUGCCAGCAGCCGCGGUAAUACGUAGGUCCCGAGCGUUGUCCGAAUUGAUUGGGCGUAAAGCGAGCGCAGGCGGUUUAAUAAGUCUGAAGUUAAAGGCAGUGGCUUAACCAUUGUUCGCUUUGGAAACUGUUAAACUUGAGUGCAGAAGGGGAGAGUGGAAUUCCAUGUGUAGCGGUGAAAUGCGUAGAUAUAUGGAGGAACACCGGUGGCGAAAGCGGCUCUCUGGUCUGUAACUGACGCUGAGGCUCGAAAGCGUGGGGAGCAAACAGG